rnacentral:rRNA from 1 species
GACGAACGCUGGCGGCGUGCCUAAUACAUGCAAGUAGAACGCACAGUUUAUACCGUAGCUUGCUACACCAUAGACUGUGAGUUGCGAACGGGUGAGUAACGCGUAGGUAACCUGCCUGGUAGCGGGGGAUAACUAUUGGAAACGAUAGCUAAUACCGCAUAAUAUUAAUUAUUGCAUGAUAAUUAAUUGAAAGGUGCAAUUGCACCACUACCAGAUGGACCUGCGUUGUAUUAGCUAGUAGGUGAGGUAACGGCCCACCUAGGCGACGAUACAUAGCCGACCUGAGAGGGUGAUCGGCCACACUGGGACGGAGACACGGCCCAGACUCCUACGGGAGGCAGCAGUAGGGAAUCUUCGGCAAUGGACGAAAGUCUGACCGAGCAACGCCGCGUGAGUGAAGAAGGGUUUCGGAUCGUAAAGCUCGGUUGUAAGAGAAGAACGGGUGUGAGAGUGGAAAGUUCACACUGUGACGGUAUCUUACCAGAAAGGGACGGCUAACUACGUG